GACGAACGCUGGCGGCGUGCUUAACACAUGCAAGUCGAACGAGAGGACAAGAGAAGCUUGCACUUGGAUGGACUGAGUGGCGGACGGGUGAGUAACGCGUGGGUAACCUGCCUUAUACAGGGGGAUAACAGUUGGAAACGACUGCUAAUACCGCAUAAGCGCACGGUAUCGCAUGAUACAGUGUGAAAAACUCCGGUGGUAUAAGAUGGACCCGCGUCUGAUUAGCUUGUUGGUGAGGUAACGGCCCACCAAGGCGACGAUCAGUAGCCGGCCUGAGAGGGUGAACGGCCACACUGGAACUGAGACACGGUCCAGACUCCUACGGGAGGCAGCAGUGGGGAAUCUUCCGCAAUGGGCAAAGCCUGACGGAGCAACGCCGCGUGAGUGAUGACGGCCUUCGGUUGUAAACGUACUGUGAUCGGACGAAAGGACGAGAGU
rnacentral:rRNA from 1 species